rnacentral:rRNA from 1 species
ACAUGCAAGUCGAGCGAAGCACUUUUGCGGAUUUCUUCGGAUUGAAGCAAUUGUGACUGAGCGGCGGACGGGUGAGUAACGCGUGGGUAACCUGCCUCAUACAGGGGGAUAACAGUUGGAAACGGCUGCUAAUACCGCAUAAGCGCACAGUACCGCAUGGUACCGUGUGAAAAACUCCGGUGGUAUGAGAUGGACCCGCGUCUGAUUAGCUAGUUGGUGGGGUAACGGCCUACCAAGGCGACGAUCAGUAGCCGACCUGAGAGGGUGACCGGCCACAUUGGGACUGAGACACGGCCCAAACUCCUACGGGAGGCAGCAGUGGGGAAUAUUGCACAAUGGGGGAAACCCUGAUGCAGCGACGCCGCGUGAGCGAUGAAGUAUUUCGGUAUGUAAAGCUCUAUCAGCAGGGAAGAAAAUGACGGUACCUGACUAAGAAGCCCCGGCUAACUACGUGCCAGCAGCCGCGGUAAUACGUAGGGGGCAAGCGUUAUCCGGAUUUACUGGGUGUAAAGGGAGCGUAGACGGCAUGGCAAGCCAGAUGUGAAAGCCCGGGGCUCAACCCCGGGACUGCAUUUGGAACUGUCAGGCUAGAGUGUCGGAGAGGAAAGCGGAAUUCCUAGUGUAGCGGUGAAAUGCGUAGAUAUUAGGAGGAACACCAGUGGCGAAGGCGGCU